CAAGAUUGCACCACUGCACUCCAGCCUGGGUGACUGAGCAAGACUUUAUCUUAAAAAAUAAUAAUAAUAAAAAUAAAAAUCUAGAAAAAAAUACAACUGACUAUUUAGCUUAUCUACAGAUAUAAACAAAAGCACUGGGUGAAAGAAAUAACAUAUUUUGUUGUAGGACUCUACUGUGACCAAACCAGAUUUCUAGAUUGAGUCAUUUUUAAUUUUUCACCCACUUUACCCCAGUAAUAACAAGAGUGUAACCAAUGUCUUUUUGCAUAAAACUGUUCUUUCCUCACCAAUCUUGAAUUAUUGCUUUAAGAUAAGUUUUCAGAACCAGAAUUCAGAGAUAAUGUUUCUGUGUACUUUUACUAUUCUUUACAGAUAAUUCUGAAAAGAGGGAACUAAUUCAUAUUCUAACCAAAAGUAUAUGAGGCUGCACAUUGCAUUAUAUAUUCCUCACAAUUUGGAUCAUCAUUUUUCUAUCUUUGCUAAUUUCACAGACAGAAAAGGACCUCCUACUUUAUUGUAUUUUUCCAUUUCUGCUGUGGCUAUAUAUUGUUCUAAAAGUUUGUUAGAAAUUCUUUGUGUUUUUUGUUUUAUGAGUGGAUCUCUAAGUGUUUAUUUAAAUUAUUCAUUUGCUCUGUAGAAGAUAAUUAAAUAUUAAAUACACGAAUCAUUUGUUAUAUUUGUUGGAAAAUGUUAAUUAUUUUAACCCCAAAUUUUUUUCAUGUAAAAUAUGGAGGUUGCCUUCCCGAAGCCCUGAUAUUUAAGCAAGCAGUUUAGAAGAAAGCAAGGCUGUGCUUGUAUGAAAUAAACAUCUCUGCUGUCAGUUAACUAUAUCCACCUAAUCCCCCGGAUUUUACCUUGUAUGUAACUGGCUUCCUCCCCACCCCAUCUCCGCCUUCCAUUUUUGAGCUGCAAUUCCUCCUCUAAGUGGGAUUUGAAAUAUGAACAAAUGGUAAUUGUCUUUUAUCUCAUCUCCAUCUCUCUCUCCUCCCCUCCCAGACUCUGCUUAUGCAUUAAGUACCAUAACAUUCACAGGAUGGGCCUGCGAACCAUCUGCCAUUACACAGAGAGAGCAGUUGAGAAGAAAUCAUGUGUAGAUUAAAGGCUGUCUCCUUCUGUCACUUAAACAAGCACAUCCCAGAUUUGUACUGUAAUAUAAAUGAGAGAGAUGUUGAAGAGCAAAACGUCAUGAUACGAGACACCCCAAGGGCAACUUUAGAGGCUGUGUUCACCGCAUCGAGAGAAGGAAGAAGAGGAUUCAUAAUGAAAAUUCAUAAUUCAUUUUGACUUGUAUCAGAAGCCUUUUUGACAAAAGACAGAGACUGAAGUAACACGAAUAUCUUCUUGGAGGCCCGUGUCUGCCAGUCUCAUAAAUAAGGCCUCCGUAAUGGCAGGGAGGAAAUCCAGAGGGCAGGAACACAGCAUUACAUCAUCACAUUACCUACAGGGAUGCAUUUUCAAGGCCAGCAAACUCAAUUAGCUCGUUGGUAAUAGCAGUUCCAGCACCAGGACGCACACAGCAGAGCUCAUCGUGCUGAAGAAGGACACGGAAGACAGAUGACAAUGUGGUCCACCAUGC
rnacentral:lncRNA from 10 species